rnacentral:lncRNA from 1 species
ACCUGCCUGGAGCUCAGUUUUACAUGUCUUCGUCAAACUUCUACCUACUAAGUAGGCUUCCCUUAGAAGGACCCCUAAGUUUUCUUUCAUAAAGCCUUGUGCCUAGAAUAUCUGAAAAAAAUAUGUUAGCCAUCCUCAGAAUUUGGGAAAACCAAGAAAUCAGCAUAUCUUCAGAAAAUUUCUGCUAGCAAGACACAGCAUGUUAAGUAUUGAAGUCAGCAAAGGCCUGUAGAGGAAGAUAUUUGAGUGGCAGAACCAACCAGAAUCUUAUCAGUGGAUGAUGACCAAUGCCUGGCUCAACUAUCAAAUGCUGGACUGAAGGAAUGAGAGGCAUGUCGUAUAGAAGAAGAGAGAAUGCCAGAGAAGCUUCGAAAUGAAGGGCACCUGAAGGUCAGUAAAUUCUUUUCCCUUGUUCCACUAAGCCAGAGCUUCCUUUUUUGAGGGGGCUGUGAUUUCAGCCUCUUCAGUUAGGAGCUUAGUUGAACAAUUGCGAUGAUUAGUUCAUUUCCCUGUUGAAGUUUAUUGCUGCAGGAAUGGUUUUAAUAUACCCAGGAUUUUGGCUUUGGU